rnacentral:rRNA from 1 species
GACGGAGGGCGCGAGCGUUGUUCGGAAUCACUGGGCGUAAAGCGCGCGCAGGCGGGCCGGCAAGUCGGCGGUGAAAGCCCGGGGCUCAACCCCGGGACGCCCGCCGAAACUGCCGGCCUGGGGACCGGUAGAGGCGAGUGGAAUUCCCGGAGUAGCGGUGGAAUGCGUAGAGAUCGGGAAGAACACCCGUGGCGAAGGCGACUCGCUGGGCCGGAUCCGACGCUGAGGCGCGAAAGCGUGGGGAGCAAACAGGAUUAGAAACCCCCGUAGUCC